GUGGGGAAUCUUCCGCAAUGGACGAAAGUCUGACGGAGCAACGCCGCGUGAGUGAAGAAGGUUUUCGGAUCGUAAAGCUCUUUCGUUAGGGACGAACGUGCUCUUUGUGAAUAAUGAGGAGUAAUGACGGUACCUAAAUAAGAAGCCACGGCUAACUACGUGCCAGCAGCCGCGGUAAUACGUAGGUGGCAAGCGUUGUCCGGAAUUAUUGGGCGUAAAGCGCGCGCAGGCGGGAUAUCAAGUCUGUCUUAAAAGUGCGAGGCUCAACCUCGUGAGGUGACAGAAACUGGUAUUCUUGAGUGUCGGAGAGGAAAGUGGAAUUCCAAGUGUAGCGGUGAAAUGCGUAGAGAUUUGGAAGAACACCAGUGGCGAAGGCGACUUUCUGGACGAUGUCUGACGCUGAGGCGCGAAAGCUAGGGGAGCGAACGGGAUUAGAUACCCUAGUAGUCC
rnacentral:rRNA from 1 species